GGCCCCCUUUUUAUAGGCAGGGGAGCAACGAAUUGAUAGUGAUUGUUUGUAACUGCCUCAUCGUGGGCCGCACGAGGCCAGGAGGAAUUUAUCAUAAAGAGUAAUGGGGUGGAGUCGUGGCUGUCACCAUGGCUCACCACGUGGAAUCUGUUGCAGAAAGUGGAGCGGCGUCCGUUGUCAUGACUCGCCAGGGAGUUGUGGAGCCGCGCAGCAUCCACCGCGGGGAGUGGAGCGGAUUCAUGGCCAUUACUGCGGCAUGCCGUGUGGAACCUGUUGCUGGGAGUGGUGGAGCCGUGCAGAAUCUGUCGCAGGAGGUGG
rnacentral:lncRNA from 1 species